AGGAAACACCAGCUACCUAUAAUAACGCGUGACACGCACCUUCUUCAACACUCAGCACAGCUCUGCAAUAAUGGCCCAGCCUGAUCUUCACGUUGGAGGUGAGGACACAGGCCCUGGAGGAUUCAAGUGGCAAGGUCACAGAAGUGGUCACAGGGGACCACAGCCCCCCCUGCCUGGACUGCCCUAGGCUCUGGAUCUGUAACCCCUGGCUUGCUCCCCAUUCGCCUGCCUGACCACAGCUCCGAGGCCUCUGAAAAGCCUGGCAAGCCCGGUCACCUGGUCACCCUAUGACCCCACACCCUGCAGCUGCACUGAGCUUCACUGACCUUGGGUGGGGAUGCCUCCUGAGGGCUCUUUCUGUUGUUCUCGCAUCUCUCCAGCCACAUAUUAAAGUGACUCAGACC
ensembl:lncRNA novel transcript